UUUCGCUUUACGACGCUGAUUGUCGGGUUUCAAAAUGGCCGCCACCUGAAGAAAAUGGCACCCCGCUGUUUUCUACAACAGAUUCCUCAUUUUACAGGCACCGAAAAUGGCUGCCAUAUGGAGGAUCUUCACUGGACGAGCAGGUAUUCAGCCCAUUGGAACGCAUUGAACGGUUUUCAAUGUGUUUCAAUGGGUUGUUUCGUUUCAUUUGACGAUGUUUUCGCUCUACAGCAAUUUCGCUGGAACAAAUUAACAUCGUCAAGCGAGGCACCACUGUACAUGACAGUAGGUCUGCUCAACGUGGCUCUAGUCUUUAAUUCAGUUCAAUUUUGUGUAGGUGACAGAAUGAUAACUGAUCACCCAGAGAAAAGUCCUCAGGAGAGACAUUUGGCACUGGAGCGACUCAGUGAUAUGUUACCAGCUGGCUCCAAUGGAGAAAUUUCCCGGAAGCCUGCAGAGGUCCUUGGUAACAGACAGCAAGCAUUGGAACACCCAGCAAAGGAACGAGACGGAUCCGGUGGCUUAAAAUGAUGCUCCUCCAGCCAGGCGGCUUCUGGUUUCUGCCUUGAAUGACUUAAACCAUUGGAACACGGAAGGAGCCUGGGAUAGGAAAACAGCGUCGGACGGUGCAGGCUCCUGUCCAGAAAGCGGAAAAAAGAGACCUUCCGAUCUUGAUGGCAUCUCGUAGCUGUCCUUUUGAAUAGACUUGAAAACUCAACAAGAUCCUUACUGCCUCCUGCAGUAUUAACAGCCAUUUAUUCAUCCAACAUAUAUGGAUCAUGGGAAAAGUAACCCUAACGAAAAUAUUAAUAUACUAAGGUCCACCUUUAUCUUUUCUUUAAAAGAACAAUAAUAAUAAUAAUAAUAAUUUGUAUACAUUAAUUCAUGUGCAUGUUUUUAUGUUGUCACCCAGGCAUAUGAAAGUAUGAUGACCAAGGCGUCUGAAACAGUCAGCAGUAUGUUUUAAUAGAGUUUCAUAGAAAGAAGAGGUCCAUUUAUUUAGAUUUCAUUACGGCUUAGACUGCAUAUUCCACAGCUGCCUGUCCAGGAUAAGCACAAAAAAUUAACAUGCAGGCAGAGAGUUCCAGCACUCUUGAGAAGCUUGGUCUUGACAAAUUUCUGACCCUUAAGAUUUUAAAGAGAGAAGGUUAAUUUUGGAAUCUGGUAAGCAAGAGAACUGAACAGGAGGAUGAGGGGCGGUCAAGUGAUGUGGGGUUCCUUUGUUCUGCCCCUAACCAUGAAUAAAUUGAAGAAAGAGAAUCA
rnacentral:lncRNA from 1 species